GACUGGGUGGAUGAGGCUCACCCCGGCGGGGAGAAGGGACGAGGAGGGGCGGACAGCGGAAGGUCCGGGAGUGUCCGCCAUAAAGUCGUUUGAGGUGACCGUUGCGUAAUUGUGAGUCUGUGAGAGAAGAUGUGAAGUAUGGCCUCGUCCCGGUCAUCUGGGCGUGCGGGUCCCGGGUUUUGAUCGCGCGUUUGUGUAGAAUAAAAGAAAUGACAGCCACCAUAGAGGAACUAGCCAAAGUUAAUAUUAGUCGGCCAGCCCAGAGUCCCUUCAGGAGUUCUGUGUGACUGGGAAAGGAAAUCUGACAGCACCGGGCACGUGACAGUAGACUACAGGGAAUUCAAUAAGAGUUUGACUCUUCGUCAACAAUAAUCUGGCGCCCAAACGUGGGGCCUCAGAGAAGACUCAGGACCCCUAAGGAGUUGCCUGAAACCGGAGCUAAGGUACCAGCAGGGGCCCAUUGAAGUCCCACUGAGUUCAAGCUUCUCCUCCGGUGGAACUGGUAAGUCCUCCUGAGCCCCAGACCUCUCCUUGACCAGACUUUUCUUAGGCUUCCCUGAGCCCUCUUCUUGAGUAGGCCUGGACCUUGGAUUUCUGUGUCCAUCCUUGCUGCACCCAGUUUUAGCAAGAAUCCUGUUAAGUAGGUUUAGUGAGAAUUCCCUUAUCCUUGAUCAGGUUCCUCAUCUUCCACCCUUAAUGUCUAAGUCCUUGGCCUGCCUUUAGCAGGAUUCUACCCUUAAUACCUAAUCAAGUUCCUGUUUGUGAUUUCCCACCCAUUGACCCCCUUACUCUUAUAGUUGGCUACAAAACCAACUGUUGUUGCUAUAUUGGGGAGUUGAGUUCACUGUCUCUCCCCCAUUGCAAUUGUCUUGAACAGUAUUACUUACCGUUUACACACGUGUAUUCUUUUCCUGUUUCCCU
rnacentral:lncRNA from 1 species